GCCCUAAUCUAUGGAUUUCACCUGAUUGGGAAUACAGAUAUGCAUCUGUUGGUCACAGAUACCUUAAAAAAAUGGUAUGGACAAAACUCCUCCCACAUCUUUGCAAGUAUUCCCUGAACUUACUGUAUGUUUCUUCAUCAUGACCACCUCUCCCAUCAUCUACUGAUCACCAGUUCUCUUAGCUACAGAUUGUUACACCAGAUAAUGUGAUUUAACAAAAGAUUUUUGAUAACCAUUACUGGGAGUUACAGGAUAUGUACAGUUUGGUGUAGCACAGAGAAUUUUCAACGAACCUUAGUGAUGGAUUCUUCGCCCUUGUUUCGGGGAAGUCUCAUAAAAAGUCUGUGUCCAGUUGCAGCGGGUCCGUUUGAAUUUAUAAAAUGCUCCGUUAUUAAAAUAAAUACUUAUUUUGCUCCAUAAAAUAAUCCAACAAUAUGUGUGCCGCUAUCGUGUCUAUUUCAAGUCUUCUCACUCAUUGAUCAAGACAGGUAUCUGUCAUCAUGACAUGCAGUACUUUGGGUUGGACAUCCACCUGUCUCAAUCGAUGAGAAAAGACUUGAAAUAGAAAGGGAUGUCAGCAAAAAUCACCUUAUCUGGUGAAACAAUCUGUAGCUACAGUUCUCUGCACUUGUGUCAUGGUUCCACCUGUCUAAAGAGGGCGGCAGAGACCCUCCUAGAGACAUUAGCGACACUCUGGUGUGUCCUAUUUACUCAUUAUGAUUUCUCUGUUAAAAGAGGUGUGUUUUCUAUUGUCCUUCGCUCAAGCUUCAAUUGUGUGCGUUUGUCUCCUGAGUGAGUUGUCGAGACUUAGUGUUUGUUGUUUUCCCAGUGUUACUGUGAUCCUUCCGUUACCGUUCUCAGUGAAGUAUUAUGUUUAUCCUUAACCGCUUAUUCCUGAGCUGGUCUCUUCUCUGCACCUGGGUCCAACCUCACCAUGUCACAACUUGUGUGUCUCUACACCUGAGACACACUCGGACACAUUGAACUGUGUUACACUGUUCAUAAAAAAAAAUUGUAUGUUACUUUUAGUAUAUAACAUUCUUGUUGAAUACCCAGCUCUCUUGAGUUAGCAUUAAAUAGUGGAUACUCCCCUGUAUUUCAGAAUUUGACAAAAACAUUAUUUUGAUAUCUGAAUGUCUGGCAUCUGCUUGAUACUAAAGAGCCCUGUACAGCUAAUAUACAUAUCUUCGGGGAAUCCAUAAGAGCAGUCAAAUGUCAAAGAUUGAUAGAAAAUAUCCAUAUUUAUUUUAUGGCGGUUCUACAUCUGGGCUCUCCAACCCUGUUCCUGGAGAGCUACCGUCCUGUAGGUUUUCACUCCAACCCUGUUCCUGGAGAGCUACCGUCCUGUAGGUUUUCACUCCAACCCUAAUCUAGCACACCUGAUUCUAAUAAUUAGCUGGUUGAUAACCUGAAACAGGUUAGGUACAACUGUGGUUGGAGCUAAAACCUACAGAAGGGAACAGGGUUGGAGACCCUUGUUCUACAUGGUUUUAUGUUGAGCCACACUGGCUGUAUUUACACAGGCAGCCCAAUUCUGAUAUUAAUUUCCACUAAUUCCACUGGUCUUAAUCGCAUCAGAUCUUUUUCAGAACUGAUCUGAUUGAUUAAAAGAUCAAUUAGUGAAAAAAAAGAUCAGAAUUGGGCGGCCUGUGUAAACGCAGCCAUAAUCCUUUAUCCGGCUUCGGUACACUGGCAAUUGUGUUCAGCAUGGUGGGCUGGGGAAGCGGAGACUCUUUGUGCUUAUCCUGUCUGCGGUGAACAGCCAGCUGGAUACGGCUCUGCCAAAAGGGGUGUAGGGAUUCUUAACCACCAACUGUCUAGGGUCCUUUUGCAGAAGAUUUGCUGGUACUGCACUUCUCCUGGAAAGACAUGGUUGUGGUGUUAGCAUUUUACACUUUUUGUGGAAUGGACGUAGGGCAACACGCCUUUGUUGGUAAAGGUAUCAACCGAAUGGGACCGGCUAACGUAUUGUUUAGGGACAAUGAGGGGACAUUGAGAGCUGCGUUUGAGAGGAAAGAUCAGUCAACAACGUGAAAUGGCUGGGAGGAGGAGGAGGGGGGGGGCUAAAGAUGUGAAAAGUCUUAGGAAGGCAGUUCUUACACAGUAUGAAUUGUUGUGUAUGGGAGAUUGAGGAGAAAUGGCACCUCAAUUGCUCAUACACAACAAUACAUUUACUGUCUAAGCACAACCAAAACCCCCUUCCUCAUCUCAAAGUACUGUCAGUAAACCUCCCCCAGCCCAUUAACGUUGAAAGAUCAUUC
rnacentral:lncRNA from 1 species